UACAGAGGUCUCAAGCGUUGUUCGGAUUCAUUGGGCGUAAAGGGUGCGUAGGUGGCGCCGUAAGUCAGGUGUGAAAUUUCGGAGCUUAACUCCGAAACUGCAUUUGAUACUGCGGUGCUUGAGGACUGGAGAGGAGACUGGAAUUUACGGUGUAGCAGUGAAAUGCGUAGAGAUCGUAAGGAAGACCGGUGGCGAAGGCGGGUCUCUGGACAGUUCCUGACACUGAGGCACGAAGGCCAGGGGAGCAAACGGG
rnacentral:rRNA from 1 species